rnacentral:rRNA from 1 species
GAUGAACGCUAGCGGCAGGCUUAAUACAUGCAAGUCGAGGGGCAGCAUGACUGUAGCAAUACAGUUGAUGGCGACCGGCAAACGGGUGCGGAACACGUACGCAACCUACCCAAACUGAGGAAUAGCCCGGGGAAACCCGGAUUAAUACUUCGUAACAUAAUUGAAUGGCAUCAUUUAAUUAUUAUAGCUCCGGCGGUUUUGGAUGGGCGUGCGCCUGAUUAGGUAGUUGG